UACGUAGGGGGCAAGCGUUGUCCGGAUUUAUUGGGCGUAAAGAGCGUGUAGGCGGCUUUACAGGUCCGUUGUGAAAACUCGAGGCUCAACCUCGAGACGCCGGUGGAAACCGUAAAGCUAGAGUCCGGAAGAGGAGAGUGGAAUUCCUGGUGUAGAGGUGAAAUUCGUAGAUAUUCGCAAGAACACCAGUGGCGAAGGCGGCUCACUGGCCCGGUACUGACGCUGAGGUGCGAAAGCGUGGGGAGCAAACAGG
rnacentral:rRNA from 1 species